CCACUCAGGCAUUCAGGGGGGAGGAUCCUAAUGGGCAGAAGGAGCUUUGCUUCUCCAAGCUGUUCAACACUCCAGUGCUUAAAAAACAAACAAACAAACCAUAUUCAGACAUUUUUUAAAAUAAUUUUUUUUUCUUAUUUCAAAGGCAAAUCAUGUUUAUUCUGGGGAAUUCAUACAAACAAAAAGAAGAAAAAAGUUAUCCAAAAUUCCACAGCUACAGGACUCCUGGAAACAUUUUGGAGUCUAUCCUUUCAAAGUUUUUUCUAGGCAAUAAGUACAUCCAGUGAUAGGUCUUGUACAACCAAUGAGAUCAAAUGGUACAUACUGUUCUGUAACCUGAUCUUUCUCACGGAACAGUUUUCCAUGUCAGCAAAUGAACGUUAUCUAAUGUCACAAUGGGUGACAUCGUCAGGUGCCCAGGGGGCUGGACACAGGCACUCACCAUGCCCUCCCUGGGUGGAGACUGGUAGUUUCUUUCUGUGAACAGGGAUUCAGUGAGCGACUUUGUAGUCAAGCCUUUAUACAACCCCUGAUUGUUCCCUUACAAUGAAUUCUCAUGUUCAAUGUUAAUUCUCUCAAGGAAAGAAGACAGUAAGUGCAGUGAAAAUGUUUAGGUCGUAAAUAGGCCUCUGAGGUGACAGGGGAUGGAGGUGGGGGGACUGUAACUCAGCAUUAUGCUUUUAUUUCCCAUUCUGUUCAACCACCAAAUCUAUCUCAAAUGCAACCUCAUUUCUAGUCAACAAACUUAGAAAAUAAACAAGACACAACCACUCUCCUUUGAAGAGAUUAUAAUCUAAUAGCAGAGAUAAGAGACACAGUAACUAUAACAAAUGAGUUUUCUCUCUCAAUUUAACACAAAAGUACUUGGCUAUUCACAAUCAGAAUUAAGGAUAAGAUGGAAAUGAUAAUGCUAAUAAUAGCUCAUGUUUAAUGAGAGCUUACUAGGUCCAGGAACUGUUCGUGUAUUAAAUGGCACACUGUGUUAAAUGGCACACAUCAUUAAUUCUCCGUUAGCCCAUGGGGUUGGUAUUACGGUUAUGAACUUUCUCGUGUUGGGUAAAUUGAGGUGCAAAGUGAAAUAGCUUGGCUGGAUAACACAGCUAGCCAGUGGUGGCCCUUUGACACUAGAGCCCUUUACUCUGAAACACACAUCCUUGGGCUGGGAGAGAGGGUCCUAGUGCCCCGGAAUAAGCGUUGUGAUUCAACCUUCUAGAUACUGCGGCCUGAGAACCAGCUUGCUCACGUCCCCCAUGGUGGGGUUCAUGGUGACCAAUCAGUGCACUUCCCACAAACCCAUCAGCUUUCCUCAGGUCCCGGUGGCUGCUUUGGCUGUGGAGAAAGUGGGUCACUCCAGCGUGUAUUAUCACCUUGCUCUGUUUCCACCUAAGGCCACCAAGGAGCUGCCUUCUGUAAAUCACUGGGACCUCAGGGAUGGUUUUUUCUCUGGCCACCCCAAGCUGGUCCAUUUUGACUCUUUGGCCUGUACUAACGGGUCUUCCGUCCAUGUCUUUGUGAAUCCAGCCCCCCGCAAGCCAACGGGCCUUCCAGAAGACUUCAGGAGGGGCCUUCUGAGGCUAGUGAGCCCAGCUUCAGUGUGAAUCCUCUGUAGGUAGGACGUUGCCUGUCAGAAAAUAAAGUUCAGAUUAUUCUCUAGACGAUUUCUUUUGAUUCCUUAGCAUAUUUUUUAACCCUUGAAAUGACUGUCAGCUUCUUACAAGCUUUUAUAACAAGCGUCACCUGGCUUCACUGAUCAAGCAUCUGCUUGUGUCCAGCCAGAGGCAGAGGGCUUUACAGAGUCUCCCUGAGCCCUCUCAGCCAAUGGGGCAGGUACCACUCUCACUGCCUUUUUCAGAAGAGGAAAAGGAAGUUUGCAGAGUGGAAGUAAUUGGCCGAGUGUCCUCCAGUGGGGGGUCCAGCAGACUCUCAGUCACCCGGCUGUGCUUUCUAUGUACAACUUUAUCACCAGUAUCUUAGCAGCACAGCCACAUACUUCCCUGGUUUGGGAUCACUGAUCUGAUAAAUCUCCUCAGCUUCUUACAGUUAAUAAUCAUGUGACAUCUUUUUUUUUUUUUUUAAAGAUGUGACCUUUAUAAAACAACAACACCUUUCUUUCGUAUAUUUAAAACAGCAAACAAGCCUCUGACGAUGUUCUGAUAAAAACACAACCUCCUUCACUAAUGCCAUGGUUGAAGCCUAAAAGUAACCACAAAUAAAUACAAUGUUUGAUGCCCAAAGGACUCUACUUAGGUGUAACAAUAAACGUGGUUACCAUUUACUGAGGGAGCACUGCCUUCACAAAGUGCUUUACAGGCAUUUCCUUGACCAAUCCUUAUUCCUCUUCUAGAAGGUUGGGAUUAUUAUCGCCAUUUUUCAGAUGAAAUCGUUGAGGCUUUAAAGUGAACAGCUGGAGUAAGGGGAGAGAGAGGUUCUAGUCUAACCUCUGUCUCAGUCCCGAGGAAGGGCAAGCUACAAGCUUAAUCUUUCUGAGCUUCAGUUUCCCCAUCUGAAAACAUGACCCCGUGUGACCUUUUUCAGUUGGGUCCCUGGAGUUUUUUUAUGAAUGUACAGACUCUCUUGAUCUGCUUUUUAAUUUACUUUAAUUUUAUUUAAUUUUAUUAUUUUAUUUUAGAGAGAGCAUGAGCAAGGGAGGGGCAGAGAGAGAGAGAGAGAAACAGAAUCCGAAGCAGCCUCCAGGCUCUGAGCCCUCAGCACAGAAGCCCACACGGGGCUCCAACUCACAGGCAGAGAGAUCAUGACCUGAGCCAAAGUCAGACGCUUAACCGACUGAGCCACCCAGGCGCCCCUCUUUUGAUCUGCUUUUGAACAACUAAGAUGGACCGGACCAUUGCUCUCACAUCCUAGCGCGCGAAAGACGGCGUACAAACAAGAACAUAUCAAAUGGUGCAGUUGGCUGAAGGCGGCCCCCCAAAAGCUAUGUCUACCUCCUAACCCCCGGAACCUGUGAAUGUGAUCUUCCUUGGAAAAAUGGGUCUUUGCAGAUUAAGUAAGGAUCUUGAGAGAAGAUCAUCCUGGAUUAUCAGGGUGGUCACUAAAUCCAAUGACAAGUGACUUUCCAAGUCACACAGAAGAGACACAGAGAGGAAGAAAAGGCCAUAAAAUGGGAGGCAGAGAGUGGAGUGAUACAGCCACAACCAAGGAACACGUGGGGCCACUAGACUCUGGAAGCAGCAAGGAAGGAUUCUGUCCUAUAUCCCCCCCGAGGGAGCAUGGCCCUGCCGACACCUUCAUUUCAGACUCUGGCCUCUAGAACUGUGAGAAACUAAGUUUCUGUUGUUGUCAGCCUCCCUCUUUGUGGGCAUUUGUACAUCAACCCUAGGAAACAAUGGCAUAAAUGGUAACACGUACCGAGAAGAAAAUAAGAUGGGCAAAUGAGACAAAAUAUAAACAGGGACACAGAUGUGACCACCAUAAAUGAUGGAGUCUGGAAGGCCCCAUUUAGGAUGUACCAGUUGAAUUCCCUGAGGACAUGGGAGAGGGGUGUUCUGAAUCUGAGGGCGAGGGGGCAAGUAUAAAGGGCCUAACCUGGGAAUUAAUUUGGUGUGUGCAAAGACCAGGAAGUGAGUGGUGCUGAUUAUGGGAGGUGCAGGGGAGAGUGGUAGGGAGAUGCUGAGACAGGAAGGAACCGGACCCUGUAGAGCCUUGUAACCUCAGAGACCUAACACUUACAAUGACUUGCAGAUGCCCUUACGAGCAGAGAAAGACGUACGGACUGAUUAAAUAAUGAGUAUAUGCCAAACAUUGUAGCAAUCGGAUUAAAACCCAGAACCUUUAUAAUCUUCCUCAUGUAAUCCCAUCCCACUGUUAAUUCAAUAUGAGUAAGAAUGUCACAAAUAGAACAUGUGAGGUCAAACACCACAGACACAGUAGAAAAUCCUCAGCGGGAUCCUUUAUUUUGUUCACUUGCUACUUACAAGGUGAAAUGUCAACCUGUAAAAGUUGUUUCUACCAGUUCAGCCAAUGGCCUGGAACAUCAUCGUGUCCUCGUUCCACGGUGUAUAGUCCCGGGGGGCAGAUCCAAGGGUCGCAGCUUCACAGGGACCAGACGGCGCGGGUUCCAGAGCUCGAGCUCUGCACACUGCGCUUCCCCAGGACCCCACAGCCUCAUUCCUCCUGGUGAUCAGCGAGGAAAUGGAUGGUAUUUCUAUUCACUUUUUCAAAGAUCAGACCUACCUCAUUUACAUGUCAAGAAAAUGUUCUCAAGUAAAAUAAAGUGUUUAUCAUUUUCCUAUA